AACGAACGCUGGCGGCAGGCUUAACACAUGCAAGUCGAACGCAUCCUUCGGGGUGAGUGGCAGACGGGUGAGUAACGCGUGGGAACGUGCCCUUCAGUUCGGGAUAACCCAGGGAGACUUGGGCUAAUACCGGAUACGUGCGAGAGCAGAAAGAUUUAUCGCUGAAGGAUCGGCCCGCGUCUGAUUAGCUGGUUGGUGGGGUAAUGGCCCACCAAGGCGACGAUCAGUAGCUGGUCUGAGAGGAUGAUCAGCCACAUUGGGACUGAGACACGGACCAAACUCCUACGGGAGGCAGCAGUGGGGAAUAUUGGACAAGGGGCGCAAGCCUGAUCCGGCCAUGCCGCGUGAGUGAUGAAGGCCUUAGGGUUGUAAAGCUCUUUCGUCCGGGACGAUAAUGACGGUACCGGAAGAAGAAGCCCCGGCUAACUUCGUGCCAGCCGCCGCCGUAA
rnacentral:rRNA from 1 species